rnacentral:rRNA from 1 species
GUCUGCGGCCACUCUGAACAAGCCCAAUCCUGUCUGAUCGCAGAAGCUAAGCAGGGUUGGGCCUCAUUAGUACUUGAAUGGGAGACCACCUAGGAAGACCAGGUGCUGUCA